GAAAAUUUUGAGUGCUCAGUAUGAAAGGUGGCAACCAAGGGUGAGGAUAUUAUUUGCUUGUACAGAGUUCAUAUAAUAUUGUCUUAGAUUGAAUUUCAUUUACCUUUGAAGAUCUUUGAGCAGGCACGAUAUAAGGUCCGGCCUGAUCCUACUGUGGAUGAAGUGAAGAAACUUUGUAAUACAUGUGGCCGAUAUGCCAAGUCUGAGAGGGUCCUAUUUCAUUAUAAUGGCCAUGGUGUGCCUAAGCCGACUUCUAGUGAAGCUUCAAUCUUGGUUUCAAUGCCCAAAUGGUAAAUG